UACGAAGGGGGCUAGCGUUGCUCGGAAUGACUGGGCGUAAAGGGCGCGUAGGCGGCUUGUACAGUCAGAUGUGAAAUUCCUGGGCUCAACCUGGGGGCUGCAUUUGAUACGUAUGGGCUUGAGUGGGGAAGAGGGUCGUGGAAUUCCCAGUGUAGAGGUGAAAUUCGUAGAUAUUGGGAAGAACACCGGUGGCGAAGGCGGCGACCUGGUCCUUGACUGACGCUGAGGCGCGAAAGCUAGGGGAGCAAACGGG
rnacentral:rRNA from 1 species